AAUAUUUGAAAAUGGGCAAAAGCCUGAUACAGCCAUGCCGCGUGUGUGAAGAAGGCCAUAGGAAUGUCAAGCACUUUAAGUUGGGAGGAAGGGUUGUAGUUUCAUACUCUGCAUUUUUGACGAUACCGACAGAAUAAUCAACGUCUAACUUUGUUCCAGCAGCCGUGGUAAUCCGAAGUGUGCAAGCGUUAAUCGGAAUUAUUGGGCGUAAAGCGCGCGAAGGUGGUUCGUUAAGUUGGAUGUGAAAGCCCCGGGCUCAACCUGGAAACUGCAUCCAAAACUGGGGAGCUAGAGUACGGUAGAGGGUGGUGGAGUUUCCUGUGUAGCGGUGAAAUGCGUAGAUAUAGGAAGGAACACCAGUGGCGAAGGCGACCACCUGGACUGAUACUGACACUGAGGUGCGAAAGCGGGGGGAGCAAACAGG
rnacentral:rRNA from 1 species